GAGGUAAAUGUAAAAGUGAAUGCUGCUAACUUAUCACCAUAGCGGUUAAAAUCCGUUUAUACCUCU
rnacentral:tRNA from 1 species